GACGAACGCUGGCGGCGUGCUUAACACAUGCAAGUCGAACGGAAAGGCCCCGCUUUUGUGGGGUGCUCGAGUGGCGAACGGGUGAGUAACACGUGAGUAACCUGCCCUUGAAUUUGUGAUAACUUCAGGAAACUGGGGCUAAUACCGGAUAGGAGCUCCUGCUGCAUGUUGGGGGUUGGAAAGUUUCGGCGGUUGGGGAUGGACUCGCGGCUUAUCAGCUGGUUGGUGGGGUAGUGGCUUACCAAGCCUUUGACGGGUAGCCGGCCUGAGAGGGUGACCGGCCACAUUGGGACUGAGAUACGGCCCAGACUCCUACGGGAGGCAGCAGUGGGGAAUAUUGCACAAUGGGCGGAAGCCUGAUGCAGCAACGCCGCGUGCGGGAUGACGGCCUUCGGGUUGUAAACCGCUUUCGCCUGUGACGAAGCGUGAGUGACGGUAAUGGGUAAAGAAGCACCGGCUAACUACGUG
rnacentral:rRNA from 1 species